rnacentral:rRNA from 1 species
CCUACGGGAGGCAGCAGUAAGGAAUAUUGGUCAAUGGAGGCAACUCUGAACCAGCCAUGCCGCGUGCAGGAAGACGGCCCUAUGGGUUGUAAACUGCUUUUGAACUAGAGAAAACCUUGGUACGUGUACCGAGUUGAUAGUAUAGUUAGAAUAAGCAUCGGCUAACUUCGUGCCAGCAGCCGCGGUAAGACGAAGGAUGCAAGCGCUAUCCGGAUUCAUUGGGUUUAAAGGGUGCGUAGGCGGAACUGAUAAGUCAGUGGUGAAAUCUCUCAGCUUAACUGAGAAACUGCCAUUGAUACUGUUAGUCUAGAGUACAGAUGAUGUGGGCGGAAUAUGACAUGUAGUGGUGAAAUACUUAGAUAUGUCAUAGAACACCGAUUGCGAAGGCAGCUCACAAAACUGUAAACUGACGCUGAGGCACGAAAGUNCGGGGGAUCAAACAGGAUUAGAUACCCCUGGUAGUCCGCACCGUAAACGAUNAUAUACUGUGU